rnacentral:lncRNA from 1 species
GCACGCAGAGUCUUGAGGUCCAAAGCCCCUCUUCCUGCAAAAUGGUUAUCCUGGUGGCAUUGCUCUAAAUAGAAGGACUUAGGUAGGGUAAACAGGAGGAUUGUGAGCAAGCCUUAAGGUUUCUGAUCACUAGAAAAGCAGAUCUUUUAAGAGGGUUUACCAGGAACCUCAGCCUUUAACCUUUCCUGCAAAGGUCAGCUACCACAGGCAUGGGCAUCUAGUUCCUGCUCAGUCCUGAUGGCCUGUAUCAGCUCAAGUCCCCACCCCGAUGACUGUCAUAUCUGCUUGGUUUCCCACCAUUUUGCUUUUCUCUCUACCUUGGCAGUUUGAGCCCCAGUGAAUCUUUCUUUCUGCCCAUAGACCAGUCUAGUUCAGUAAUUUCUCUGCCCCGAGUCUCAGGUAUUAAUCUGCGAGGACGGCCUCCAUCUGGGGACUUUUUUCUGUUCUCAGUGAAGUGGCACAUUCAGUUCCUGGUGCAGCGUCCGUUCGUUUCUUUUAGUCAUUUCACAGCUGUUUGCUGGGAGGAGCAAGACUGAACUACUUGGGGCUGAUUUCACAAGGAAGCUGAAAACAAGGCCUUCCCAGUUCCCGUUUGUGAUUUUCAAGUCAAUAAAGCAUGUCUGUCUUGGUGG